UUCUAUCUUUAUCACAGUUUUCUCAUGGUAUCAUUCGGGAAAAACAUUACUAAAAUUCUUUUUCGAUCCUAGGAUUUCUUUUCAUCUCCAUACCUCUCUGUAAUGGAAAAUCAAUUCAUAGUUUCCGCUGCAUCAUCACAAUCAUCAUCAUCAAAAGGUUGUCCUAAGAAGACGAAGAAGAAAUCAACUCCUGAUAUUGAAGAAGCUUUACUUUCGUUGCUCUAAUGCUCAGAAACUUUGUGGUGUUUGGCUACAACGAUGAUCAAUUUCUAUUUUGAUAGAGGUAAUUUUUUGAUACAAUUACACAUAUUCUCUGUUCUUGAUUUCAACUUAGGGUUUUUCAACUGAGGGUUCUUGAAAUUGCUGGUUAAUGAUUGUGUUCUUUACCCUAACCCACCCCUUUCUGUCUCUACUCUCUGAUUCCAACAAUUUCUUUUAAACCCAAACCCUAAUUCAGCGUCAAAUGCACAGUUAUAUCUAAAGAAAUCCAACAACCCAUUAUUAUGGAUUCUUCAAAUUUUACCCAUUUCAAACCAGAAAUUAAAAAAGAUAAAGUCUUGGGUUUCAUUCCUUCACAAAUCUCUGGGCAUCAGUGCGGUGCAAUGUGUGUAAUUGAUGACGACGAUUAAAAAAAAUAAAAAUGAAGUUACUCUAGGAAUGGAUCAAGAAGAAGAAGAAAAGAAGAAAGAAAUGUUAAUUUCUGAGGGUUUUCAUGUUAAUUAUGUGGGCACUUCUACUGAUGAAUCUUCUCCUGUGUGUUAUUGGUGGAUAUGAAAAAGAAAGCAGAUUCUGAUGAACCCAUUUCUCAGAUACAAAAUGUUGUCAAGAAGAAUCAAGAACCAGUCUGCAAAGGUAUUGUUCAAUUGGAUGAUUCAUUCAUCUUAAUCUCUGUUCUUUCAAAAUUCUCAAGAACAAGACGAAGGAUAAAAAAUACCAAGACAUUACUUAAAAAGGCAAAGGAUAACGCACCAUUGAAUUACUGAAAUCUAAUUGAGAACGUUCCAUGAAUUUGAUAUCUUGAAAACACAUAGUAGUGCAAAGAAAAGAAGGAUUUAGGCAGAGGAAUAAAAACAGUGUUGCAAGAUAACCCUCUCAAGAAAGAAACGUUUCUGAAGUUGAAAAAUCUAACAGUGAGGAACUCCUGGAUUCUAAUGUUGCAUAUGCCAAUGUUGAUAUUGCAUAAGAAAUCUGUCGAAUAAGGAAAGCUUCAGAAGUCAAAGAAGUUUAUGCUGCAUAUGCUGAUAAUCAUAGUGAGAGAAGGUUCCAAGUAUACCACUGCCUCAGUGGUUUUCCUAAGAAGAAAAGGUCAGUGCCUGCUGAUGAUACUGCUAGUAGUACUGGGCAUCGACAUAGAGUAGAGCAGAAUAAACUCAAAAUCAAUGUUGCAAAAUCAAUGUCUUAAAAAGAAGAUGAAAAACAAGUUCGCCGGAAACAACAAAAACAAAAGAGGAAGUAUAGAAGAAGGAGAGAAGUAAGGUUAAGAAGAUAAGGGAUAAAGGAAAGAAGAAGAAAUCAUCUCCACCAUCAACAUCAUCUGUACCCACUGCAACAACUUCAACAUCAAUACAGCAGCAGCUGCAACUUCAACAUCAAUACAGCAGCAGCAACAACUUCAACAUCAAUCCAGCAGCAGCAGAAACUUUCGGGAAAUAUCAACAUUCAUAUGGAUCUGGUCUUACAAACACCGGUUUCAACAGUGGCGGAACUGGAAAUAUAACCUAGGGGUGGCUUAAGCCUAGUACGUGGGAUUAAAUUUAGCAGCCCAACUAAAAUAGGUAGUUGAAAACAAGGCUUUUUGGGCUCUCAGGGGUGGCUUAAGCCAGCCCUAGUCUGGCUGUAGUUCCGCCCCUGGGUUUCAAAAUAACAAUUCGAUUCUCUUAACAAACAGAGAACACCAAAAACAAUUUGAGUCUCUUAACCAGCAGAGAACAACAAAACAAAUACUGGAAGCUCCAAUUUCUGUUGUUAAUCAACUUGAGUUGCUGCUGGUUCUAAUUUUGAUAAAGAGGUUCCCAAUUACUGCUUGUUCUGUUACUAUUGGUUCCACUACUGAAGAUGUUUUUAUAAUAUAUUUUCCGUAACUGCUGGCUUGAUCACACUGACAAGACAAGGGCUUGCUGGGUUAGCAAUUGGAUUAUAAAGGUGCAAUAUGGGUUUCUCAAUUUUGCUACUUCAUCUUGAGUUUUGCAUUUUAUAACAUUGCAUAGCAGUUCAAGUCUAUGUUGAGCUAGUGUUCUUCCGCAAUUUCAGUUUGAGGAGUUGUACUAUUUUUCAGUUCAAGUCUGUGUUGACUGUUGUUUCUCUCUUCAAACUGUUCCAGACUUUUCCAGUGUCUGUCUCUGACGUUUGAGGGGGUGUAUUAGGAAUAUAGAAUAGAUCACUUCAAGUCUGUGUUGACUUGACUAAUUUUGUGUGUCACAUGUUAUGGGUACAAUUACCCUUGUCCUGUAAUUGUGUAAUACAUCUGAAACAUAAUUCUGUUUUAUCUUUA